rnacentral:tRNA from 1 species
GGCCUCGUAGCUCAAUUGGUAGAGCGUGCGCAGUACAAAAGUGUAGGCGGUGUCCAUACGUGCGUUCGAAUCCCACCGAGGCUA